AUCCAGCUGACGAGUCCCGAAUUGGACGAAACACUCAUCCUGGAU
rnacentral:hammerhead_ribozyme from 1 species